rnacentral:lncRNA from 1 species
AUCUCCAGCCUUACCGCGGCUCGAAAUGGACCCCAACUGCUCCUGCACCACUGGUGUCUCCUGCGCCUGCACCGGCUCCUGCACGUGCAAAGAGUGCAAAUGCACCUCCUGCAAGAAGAGUGAGUGCGGGGCCAUCUCCAGGAAUCUGGGGCUGUGGCUGAGAUUGGGAGGGAACCCAAGGCUGGCCCUGAGUGCAUCCUUCUGGGGAACUGGGCUUUCUUUGCCCUCAUUG